UGAGUCACAAGUGGCCACCGGUGAUCACCAAGACCCGGAUGAUAAUUCUCGAUCAUUUCCUCAUAUCGAUCAACCAAAAUCCCCCAAUAACCAUGCAAAUAAUAAGCACUCUCCAGAUAAACCUUAGCACCCCAUUUAUCCCUCUGUGUAGCCAAUAGAAAAACCAUUGCAGACUGAUCAUCAGCUUCAAAAACGGGUCUAUCCUUAAGCUCCCUAGUGAGUACCUUCCCAGCUUCCUCCCUAAUCUUCCCUUUGGGCCCCAUUGGCGCCCAGGCAUCCAAAAUAUCCAAAGACCAUUGGCAAUUCCUCAACAGGAAACUCCCAGUAUUCAAUCCAAUCCAAUUUUUCUGAUCAUAGACCAUUUCAUUCCAUCCGUGCAUCACGAAAUUGGAAUCCUUGUACCUCUCCCAAGGGAGCUCAAAUGCCAUAUCCGUAAACAUGGCAUCACUAUCCAUCCACCACAAGAACUCGAUCUCCGGAUGGGAGAGCAAUAGCUUCCUUAUCAAAGGAAGCUUCGCCCAAAAUCCAGCCAUUUCCGCAUCAAGCAGAGCCAUGUUAUAGAAGAUCUCAAUCCCAUGAAGCCUGCAAUAAUCGAUCUUGUUCUUAAUCGACUUCAACAAGUAAUGAUCCCCCACCGGAUUCUCACAAGGCUUAGGCGAAGAUCCUGUCACCAAGAGCACUCUCGGCUUGUUUGGUCCAAUAAAAUUGGGGAAAUUAGGGUUCUUUCUCAACCACUCAGCUCUUUGCACGUCCCAAUCUGAAAUCUUGGGGCCGAGACUAUACGGUUUGUUCGGAUCCGGCUUCUCGUCUUGCCCUUCAUCCACCAAGAUCUUAUUAAUAUCAAAUGUGGCAUAAUUGUUUGGAUCGUUGUUAUUAUUGUUGUUAUUUUGAGUUGACUCGGCGGCGGGUUGGGCUUCGACGAGGACUCGGU
rnacentral:misc_RNA from 1 species